CUUCACUUAAUCUUAUAAGUAAACAAUAUUAAUAAAAACACUUAAACUAAUAAUUUCACAUUUAAUCUUUAUAAAGUACUAUAAAGGAAAUAAUUAACACACUAAAGUAGUGCUUGACACACGUACCUUGUGCAUUAUGGUUUUACAAGUUAUAAAUUAAUAAUCUAGCCCGAAUUCUAAGCGAGCUGUUUCACCAUAGCUAAGAGCCCACCACUAGUUGUAGCACCAACUUUGGAAAAUGGGGAAAUAGAGGCUACAUACCAAACGCGCUAGAAAAUCUCUGGUUUUCAGUAAAAUUUACAAAUAAAACAUGUAGAGCUCUACACUGCAAGGUUCCAGAGGAUAAGCCCUGAAAUCAAAAACAAGAUAUCUGUAUUUAUACCGCAUAGGCCUAAAAACAGCCAUAUACAAUACUUCACCGUAACACAUACUAAAUUAAUCUCACGGCCUGUCCAAAUAAACUGAAAUUUUUGAUAAACUCUAAAUCUAAAAAUAUUAUGUAAAAAUAAGUAUUUAUUUAAUAACCUAAGUUAAAACUAUACAACAACUAUUACUAAUUAAUAUCCUGCAAAGGAAGUCGGCAAAUAUUAUUU
rnacentral:rRNA from 1 species